rnacentral:lncRNA from 1 species
GGGAGUGUCUGACAAGCCUUCCACAAGGCCUGCAAAAUGCACUAAUGGCAUCGGACAGCUGAAUGCGGCCGUUCGGCUUCGCCGUGUCCUGUUUGUGUCACUCAGGAUCCGCUCCUGCUAUGAGACACGACAGCCUUUGUGCGGGAACAAAGCAAGAGAGCCGAUCGUGAGUCUGAACCCGGAGCUGCCGGUGAGCUCGAACCCUGGUUCCUCCACACCUGAGGACUCUCGUGUUUCCCCAUCAAAGUCUCAGACACUAUGGGCUGUUCUUCAUCCAGCAGCCAGAACAUCUCCCAGGAGGGAAACAGACCCGGGACCAAACCGGGGGACGCCAAUGGGGAGACCACACUCGUGGCUUGCAAUCAGAAUGGCACCUUUUUUGAGGAGAGCAUGACCAUCGCAGAGCAGGUCCAGAGCAUCCUACCCCAUGAUCCGGUGAUCUGCCAGGAGUCUCCAGCACCGGCCACUGAAGCUUUAGAAUGUCUUACAGCUGCCGAGGAGGCUGUGGCGGAUGCUGAGUCGGAGCUCUUGGUCGUGAGCAGCUCUCCUGUGGCCCAGCAGGGUCCUGAACCUGAGUUGAGAGUGACCGCGCAGCCUGAGCCGAGCGUUGACCUUGAGCCGACAAGUGAAUCUGAACCGGAGCCGGCACCCGUGUGCGAGCCCGCACCCGCACCUGUACGGGCUGCAGCGUCUGAGCCGGAGCCAUCAUGUGACGUGAGCAUCGUUGUCGCACCUGGGCCAGCCUCUGCACCUGCUCCGUCACCUGCACCUGAACCAGCAGCUGCUGAAGCCGAGCCCAAAGCAUCCGUUGAGUCCGCAUUCACCCCUGAGGUCACCGCUGCUCCGGAGGAAGCCGCUGUCCAGGAGCUGAUCCUCAGCACGGAAGAAGAGGUGGUCUCUCAAGUAGAGGAAUCUGCAGAAACACCUGUUCUGGAACUGGUGACUUCCUCUGAUGAGGAAAAGGAUGCAGAAGAGACCUCCGACAGACCAGACCUGGCCCAGGCUGAAGAACCUGCUACAGAGGGAGUCAUAAAGGAAGUCAGACCACUGGCGGAGGAAGCAGCAGUUGUCUGCAGCGUAACAGCCGACGGCACAGAAGCUCCAUCCACUCAGGUCUCAGAGCCGGAACCGAAUGUGAGCGUGACCUCUGACCCCGCUGGCACUGAGAACGUGAAGGCACCUGCCAUCUCCCCCGAAUUGUUCCAGGACCCCCAGAGUCCUGCACCAGGGGCCAAAGUUGAAGGUACACACAUUAAUCCAUGAUCUGUUAACAUUAACAUGAGGGAACCAUAAAACACCUAAAACACAAAUUUGAUCUGAAUCGUUGCUUUAAUGUCUCCGCUUCAGUCCAGACAGAGACAUUAAAGCAACGGUUCAGAACAAAUCCGUUCUAUGAAAUGUUAUGAAACAUGCUUUGAUUUCGCAGAACCUGCACAAUUACACAAGCCACAUGUUUCAUUCUGCCUGCUUCAGGUGACCAGUAGAACAAUGAUCCAUCGCCUUCACGUGUAAUUACUUAACUGCACACAGCUGACUGUUAAUUAAAUCUGCAUUAUGGAUCCAAAUUGUCCGGGCUGGAUGUCAUCACCUCUACUUUUUGUCUGGGAUGGGAGAUACUCUUUUUUCGGUAUUCAUUCCCAGAUGUCACAUUUUAAGAUGUUUUUCCACAUAUAGUAUGAGAGUUGACGUUUGGUUUUUAGAAUCCCAAAGAAGGUCUUGUUUCGAUUGGUUGAGUGCUGCCCGAAAACAGAACGUGACUUGUGUCCUUGUGGGAAAGGACAGACGAUGCUUGCCGAGACAAAGCAGUCUAAGAUACCGUGUGCGUGUGUGUGUGUGAGUCAUGCUCCUCUGGCUCAUAUCUUGGCUUAGUAUACAGACCUCUAUAACAGAAAGAAGGACUGUUCCCAAUGUCGGUCUCGGUGUAAACUGUAAACAACGGAAUAAAUAAUGGAUAAAGGCUCA